AGAGUUUGAUCCUGGCUCAGGAUGAACGCUGGCGGCAUGCCUAAUACAUGCAAGUCGAACGGAAUCUUAUAUGUUCCUCGUUUCGGAUUUAGUUCCGAGUUGGGGAACAAUAAGAUUUAGUGGCGGACGGGUGAGUAACACGUUGGUACCUACCCUCUAGUGGGGGAAUAACUUCGAGAAAUCGAGGCUAAUACCGCAUAAUAUCUACGGAUUAAAGCAUUUAUGCGCUAGAGGAGGGGCCUGCGUCUGAUUAGCUUGUUGGUGAGGUAAAAGCUCACCAAGGCGACGAUCAGUAGCUGGAUCGAGAGGUUGACCAGCCACACUGGGACUGAGAUACGGCCCAGACUCCUACGGGAGGCAGCAGUAAGGAAUCUUCCACAAUGGGCGAAAGCCUGAUGGAGCAAUGCCGCGUGCAGGAUGACGGCCUUCGGGUUGUAAACUGCUUUUAUAUGGGAAGAUUAUGACGGUACCAUAUGAAUAAGGACCGGCUAACUACGUG
rnacentral:rRNA from 1 species